UUUCCGUAGGUGAACCUGCGGAAGGAUCAUCAACAAAAAAAAAAAUUCAAAAAUACACAAAACAACACUUUUCUUUCUUUUUUGGAAAGAAAAGUAAAAUUCUGUUUUAUUUUAUUUUUUAUUUUUUUUAUUUUUUUCUUUUGCAAAAGAGAAAGAAGAAAAAGAAGAAAAAAAUGGGGGAGAAAGGGGGGAGAGCAGUAAAAAAGCCAACCCCCAUAUCCUAUUUUUUUUUUUUAUUCUUUUUUUUUUUUUGUAAAAAAAAAAAGAAAAAAAAAAAAAACAGAAGAAAAAGAGAGAAAAAGUAGGGGAUAUGAGAAAAAAAACACCCCCCUAAUAACUUAUUUUUUUUUUUUUUAUUUUUUUUUUUUAGAAAAAAAAAAAAAAAAAAAAAUAAAUUUUGAAAAAAAAAAAAAAAAAACAAAAUGCCUAAUUUUUUUAAAAAAAAUUGAGCUUAAAAAAUUCUUUUUUUUUAUUAUUUAUAAUAAAAAAUAUUCUUUAAAAAAAAGAAGACAACUUUUAACAAUGGAUCUCUUGGCUCUC
rnacentral:misc_RNA from 1 species